GGGGGGGGGGGGGGGGGGGGGGGGGGGGUGGGGGGAGGGGGCGGAAGGGGGAGCGGGCGUCUGGGGGGGAGUUGCGAACGGGUGGGUAACGCGUAGGUAACCUGCCUGGUAGCGGGGGAUAACUCUUGGAAACGAUAGCUAAUACCGCAUAAGAGUAGAUGUUGCAUGACAUUUGCUUAAAAGGUGCAAUUGCCUCACUACCAGAUGGACCUGCGUUGUAUUAGCUAGUUGGUGGGGUAACGGCUCACCAAGGCGACGAUACAUAGCCGACCUGAGAGGGUGAUCGGCCACACUGGGACUGAGACACGGCCCAGACUCCUACGGGAGGCAGCAGUAGGGAAUCUUCGGCAAUGGACGGAAGUCUGACCGAGCAACGCCGCGUGAGUGAAGAAGGUUUUCGGAUCGUAAAGCUCUGUUGUAAGAGAAGAACGAGUGUGAGAGUGGAAAGUUCACACUGUGACGGUAUCUUACCAGAAAGGGACGGCUAACUACGUG
rnacentral:rRNA from 1 species